rnacentral:RNase_P_RNA from 1 species
CGAGCUGGCCGGGCAAUCGCUGUCGCCUUGUGCGAUGGAGGAAAGUCCGGGCUCCAUAGGGUGGAACGCCAGGUAACGCCUGGGGGGUGUGAACCUACGGAAAGUGCAGCAGAGAGUAGACCGCCGAUGGCUCCUUUUUUGGGAGUACAGGUAAGGGUGAAAGGGUGCGGUAAGAGCGCACCGCGCGGCUGGUAACAGUCCGCGGCACGGUAAACCCCGUUCGGAGCAAGACCAAAUAGGCCCUCUACAGGUGUGACCCGCACUGAGGGCGGGUAGGUCGCUUGAGGUGUCUGGCGACAGGCAUCCCAGAUGAAUGAUUGUCCUCGACAGAACCCGGCUUACAGGCCAGCUCAACAA